ACAUAACUGAUGCCUCCGCGUAUCGACUUUGUGCGCAUUUUAGCUAUUAUGUGUUCUUUUAAUUAAAAUGAUUCUUUUUAAGAUUCAUCUAUUAAAAAUUUGCUUCGGCACAAUUUUUUUUGAUGAUCUUGUUACUUUGAGUAAAUUAGAGUGUUCAAAGCAAACAGAUAUAGCAUUUGUGCGUUUGAAUACUACAGCAUGGAAUAACAAAAUUGAACAAGUCAGAAUUUUUUUGUUCUUUUUUCUUAUUUUGGCUUAGUUACGAUUAAUAGGAGUAGCUUGGGGGCAUUUGUAUUCAGAUGUCAGAGGUGAAAUUCUUAGAUUUUCUGGAGACAAACAACUGCGAAAGCAUUUGCCUAAAAUACUUCCAUUAAUCAAGAACGAAAGUUAAGGGAGUGAAGACGAUCAGAUACCGUCGUAAUCUUAACCAUAAACUAUGCCGACUAGGCUUUGGAUGAAAGAUUUUAAAAUAAGAGUUUUUCUUUUCUCUCCGGAGAUUAGAACUCUUAGAUUGCUUCCUUCAGUGCCUUAUGAGAAAUCAAAGUCUUUGGGUUCUGGGGCGAGUAUUCGCGCAAGCGAGAAAGUUAAAAGAAUUGACGGAAGGGCACCACCAGGCGUGGAGCUUGCGGCUUAAUUUGACUCAACACGGGAAAACUCACUAGUUUAAGACAAGAGUAGGAUUGACAGAUUAAUAGCUCUUUCUUGAUUUCUUGGAUGGUGAUGCAUGGCCGUUUUUAGUUCGUGAAUAUGAUUUGUCUGGUUAAUUCCGAUAACGAACGAGAUCUUAACCUGCUAAUUAGCGGCAAAUACGAUAUAUUCUUAUGUAGAAUUGAACAUAGUGGAUUUGUUGGAUUUUGAAGAAAAUAUUGGAAUUACGUUAAGUGUGAUUCCUUUCCCUUUUCUACUUAAUUUACAUUUCCAUCUAUUUCUUUUUUGCGUAUGAAUGUAUUUGCUUGAUUGUAAAGCUUCUUAGAGGAACGAUGUGUG
rnacentral:rRNA from 1 species